AUUGAACGCUAGCGGGAUGCUUUACACAUGCAAGUCGAACGAGUGGCGGACGGGGGAGUAAUAAACCGGAACGUGCCCAGUAGCGGGGGAUAACUACUCGAAAGAGUGGCUAAUAACGCAUACUAUUGGAGCGGGCGAAAUAGGCUUAGUGAGUUGGUGGGGUAAAGGCUCACCAAGGGAACGAUCCGUAGCUGGUUUGAGAGGAGGACAAGCCACACUGGGACUGAGACACGGCCCAGACUCCUACGGUAGGCAGCAGUGGGGAAUUUUGGACAAUGGGGGAAACCCUGAUCCAGCCAUCCCGCGUGUAUGAGAAGGCCUUCGGGUUGUAAAGUACUUUUGGCAGAGAAGCGGUAUCUGCAGAAUAAGCACCGGCUAACUACGUGCCAGCAGCCGCGGUAAUAC
rnacentral:rRNA from 1 species